UAGCAACACAAUGACUGUCAAAGAGCUCAUAAGAGAUUGGAACUGCUUUUGCAAUAAGUAAAGUCAAUGAAGAAAGUAAGAGGAUUGCAAAGGUUUCCCCCGCUGAUUCUGCCAACAGAAAUGUUUUUAUUGUGCUGCUUUGGACUGUCAUUCAUCAAGCAACCAGAGAGAAAAGAAGGCUCUUUACUGUCAGCUAAGCCUGAAAAAUACUUGGAAAGUACUUUGCUUCCCUGGGCUUGGGUCAUGGACAAGGCGUGGAAAAAAAACAGUGAAACAUUUCCAACUACAAUUUAAAGGAAUGCAUGUCAUUUAUUUAAAACAUAAAUCAGCAAACAGAGAGACAUAAAAUUACUAGUGGACUGCUUCAAGUUCAGAAGCCACUGCCCUGGUAGAGGAGUUACCAACGAUCACACAUCCUAUAGGAAUCCAACUACAGUGGCCCUGAGCUGAAACAGCAUGCGUUCCAUGCUCCUUUGCAUAAUUUGCCUACUUCUUCUCAUAUUUUGUAAAUAUAAAAUCUACUUCUGG
rnacentral:lncRNA from 1 species